CGGCGUGCUUACACAUGCAAGUCGAACGGUAAGGCCCUUCGGGGUACACGAGUGGCGAACGGGUGAGUAACACGUGGGUGAUCUGCCCUGCACUUCGGGAUAAGCCCGGGAAACUGGGUCUAAUACCGGAUAGGACUGCGCGGUGCAUGCCGUGUGGUGGAAAGAUUUAUCGGUGCAGGAUGGGCCCGCGGCCUAUCAGCUUGUUGGUGGGGUAAUGGCCUACCAAGGCGACGACGGGUAGCCGGCCUGAGAGGGCGACCGGCCACACUGGGACUGAGACACGGCCCAGACUCCUACGGGAGGCAGCAGUGGGGAAUAUUGCACAAUGGGCGCAAGCCUGAUGCAGCGACGCCGCGUGAGGGAUGACGGCCUUCGGGUUGUAAACCUCUUUCAGCAGGGACGAAGCGUGAGUGACGGUACCUGCAGAAGAAGCACCGGCCAACUACGUGCCAGCAGCCGCGGUAAUACGUAGGGUGCAAGCGUUGUCCGGAAUUACUGGGCGUAAAGAGCUCGUAGGCGGUUUGUCGCGUCGUCUGUGAAAACCAGCAGCUCAACUGUUGGCUUGCAGGCGAUACGGGCAGACUUGAGUAUUUCAGGGGAGACUGGAAUUCCUGGUGUAGCGGUGAAAUGCGCAGAUAUCAGGAGGAACACCGGUGGCGAAGGCGGGUCUCUGGGAAAUAACUGACGCUGAGGAGCGAAAGCGUGGGUAGCGAACAGGAUUAGAUACCCU
rnacentral:rRNA from 1 species